rnacentral:rRNA from 1 species
UACAGAGGUCUCAAGCGUUGUUCGGAUUCAUUGGGCGUAAAGGGUGUGUAGGUGGCGCGCUAAGUCGGGUGUGAAAUUUCGGAGCUUAACUUCGAAACUGCAUUCGAUACUGGCGUGCUUGAGGACUGGAGAGGAGACUGGAAUUCAUGGUGUAGCAGUGAAAUGCGUAGAGAUCAUGAGGAAGACCAGUGGCGAAGGCGGGUCUCUGGACAGUUCCUGGCACUGAGACACGAAGGCCAGGGGAGCAAACGGG